GGCGAAGCGGCGCCUGGGUAGGGACGCGCAGACUUUGGAUCGUAGGUGUCACGCGGCAGCGUCGUUUGCCCGCCCAGAAGAGGAGCGGUGCUCGCGGUACUUUUUCACGAAGCCGAGGCCUUUGUCGACGGGGAAGCCAGCGGACCUUUGGCUCGGGAAAUAGUAGGGCUGUGAGGGUCCCCGGCGGGGGGAGAGCUGGGCGUGGCUUCUGGGGCUGCGUGUGCUUGGAAGAAGGCGCGGCUCGGAGAUGCCACCCUGUGGGCGAAUGCCCGUUUUCCGAAGGGGAGCCUAAGAAAAAGAGGUCUGGCUGGCUGGAAAGAAGCUGCCUGGAGAAAACCGUGCUUGUCCCUGCCAGAUGGCUUUUGGUUUGUACAUUGGGAACCAAAUCCCUCUUCUCAGGAUUCAGUGUGUGAAUGAGUGAAUGAACGCUAGGAGUCUCACUGCUUCAGUUUGCCAUUCUAGGGCUUCAAUAACAAGUGCAUAAAUCUGUAAUGGCAUUUGGUAAAGAAGAUGAACCAACUGGAGGGAAAGAAAAAGAAUUCCAAGCAAAGAACGAACGGCAAGCAUUCUAAGUAGGUGAAACCGUGCAGAGAAGCAGCAAGCCAUGCUCUACGACAGACAGAGACAGUCACUGGCUCUAUGGCUACCCUUUGGCAAAAGUGUCCCUUGAACGGGUCAAGCAUGCCACUAAUUGGAAACUUCAUACACACAGGUGUUUGAUAUAAAGAUAUCUAUCCAGGUUCUUGAUAGCACGUUUGCAAUUAAAUCCUUAUACAUAACAUUGAACUUAUUAAAUAUUAACAGUUGUCUUUAAAAUUUUGUAAUUUCAUUGCAUAGAACAUUAGACAUGAGAAUCAUUUUGCUGUUACCCAUGGUGAAUGGAAGCUCCUAUGGGCCACACCAAUGAAUUGUUGUUCUUGAACAUGCUCAGCGCGGAUGAAAGAUGGGCAGGAAACAGCACAAACAAGUGGGAACGGGAGCAUCUGUA